rnacentral:rRNA from 1 species
GCUUGUCAUUCUUACCUGUUCUCUGAAACUAAGCAGGUUGGAUCUGCUUUGCACUUGGAUGGGAGACCACUUGGGAAUCUCAGGCGCUACAAGCU